UACGAAGGGAGCUAGCGUUGUUCGGAAUCACUGGGCGUAAAGCGCACGUAGGCGGAUUUGCCAGUCAGGGGUGAAAUCCCGGGGCUCAACCCCGGAACUGCCUUUGAUACUGGGUGUCUGGAGUCCGGAAGAGGUGAGUGGAAUUCCGAGUGUAGAGGUGAAAUUCGUAGAUAUUCGGAGGAACACCAGUGGCGAAGGCGGCUCACUGGUCCGGUACUGACGCUGAGGUGCGAAAGCGUGGGGAGCAAACAGG
rnacentral:rRNA from 1 species